GAUGAACGCUAGCGGCAGGCUUAAUACAUGCAAGUCGUGGGGCAGCGCAGUGUAGCAAUACAUGGGCGGCGACCGGCAAACGGGUGCGUAACACGUACGCAACCUUCCCGUUACUGGGGAAUAGCCCAGGGAAACUUGGAUUAAUACCCCAUAUUAUAUUGAUUGGGCAUCUAAUUAAUAUCAAAGCUUCGGCGGUAACGGAUGGGCGUGCGGUUGAUUAGGUAGUUGGCGGGGUAACGGCCCACCAAGCCUACGAUCAAUAGCUGAUGUGAGAGCAUGAUCAGCCACACGGGCACUGAGACACGGGCCCGACUCCUACGGGAGGCAGCAGUAAGGAAUAUUGGGCAAUGGACGAAAGUCUGACCCAGCCAUGCCGCGUGGAGGAUGAAGGUCCUCUGGAUUGUAAACUUCUUUUUUCUGGGGCGAAAACCGGUUUUUCUAAACCAUUUGACAGUACCAGAAGAAUAAGCACCGGCUAACUUCGUGCCAGCCGCCGCAGUAAAAC
rnacentral:rRNA from 1 species